ensembl:lncRNA
AUGGCUGUGCCACGAUGUGCAGAUCAACUCAUUUACCUACAAAUGCUGUUCUGUUUUAAUUUACCUUUUUCUCCCCUUUGCCUGCUUGCCUUAUCGUUACUGCAGACAUCGUUAAGAAUAAAAUUCAACCGCACGCUGUACUGCCUUCACCACUGCAGGAUUUAUGGAGAAGCUUUUCAGUGUACCUAUGCUUAUUUCCAUCCCUGGGCACUGUUCUUAAGGAAUUGUAAGCAAUCCUUGUGGAUAAAAAGAGGCACAGGAAAACAUUCCUGUCUGAUUUUUUUCCUGCUGCUCUAAAGGACACGUAAUGGAUGCAGGCAUACCAGCACAUUAAAGACAGAUGAGGAAGUAAAUCCUUUAGUUGUUUGGAAUUAAAAAGAAUCUGAAAGGAAUAUAUAUAUGCAAAUUGCUUUCAUUGAGGUCUGUCAAGAUCCUGGUAAUUUGGUAGUUUUGCACUGUCAAAGAACUGAUAACCUACUGAAGAUCAAGAGAAGAGUAUCUACACACACACAGCAAGAACACCACUGAAAUAUGUCAAUAGGAACAGGAAAGAUCUUAUGGAAAACCAUAAUAGAAAUCUUCAGGUCACUGAAAUGAACUAGUUUCUGAAUCAAAUAUAUUAGUAGCGUAAAGCUUGGUUCUUUAAGUAUUAAAUGACUAUUUGAUACAUAAGUAAUUGGAUACAAACCUAAGUAGAACAAGGAUGAACUACUGGCAAAGUCGCUUGAUCACUUUUUUUUUGAUAUUCUUAUGUUUUUAUUUUCAGAAGACAUAGUGCUAGAUUUGCAAACAGGCUGGAAAAAAACUAAUUAGAGCUAACUAUUGUUGAGAAAUGUUAAUGUGGAAUGGGAGGCAUUUAAAGAACAGUAGCAGAGUUUAAAAUAUAAGUUCAUUCCAGUAAAUCAGUGUCAAAAUGACAAGAGAAGCCAACAUGGCUCAAGACAGAUAUAUGGAAACAAUACAUAAGAUAAACAAAAAAGCUUUUGAACCCAUCCACAGAAUAUGAGAAGUGAAAGAUUUGAUUAAAUAUUAAAAGAAAAAGGCUAAGCCCAAUGAAACAAAAAACAAGAGUGAAUCAUACAGCUAAAAAUCUCUCAACACAAGGGGGGGUUUGUUUUGGUUUUGUUUUGUAUCAUACCAGGAUAAAAAGCAAGAAUUAAGAAGUUGUUUUCCAGAAUGAUAUUGUUCACAAAC